GACGAACGCUGGCGGCGUGCUUAACACAUGCAAGUCGAACGGAAAGGCCCUGCUUUUGUGGGGUGCUCGAGUGGCGAACGGGUGAGUAACACGUGAGUAACCUGCCCUUGACUUUGGGAUAACUUCAGGAAACUGGGGCUAAUACCGGAUAGGAGCUCCUGCUGCAUGGUGGGGGUUGGAAAGUUUCGGCGGUUGGGGAUGGACUCGCGGCUUAUCAGCUUGUUGGUGGGGUAGUGGCUUACCAAGGCUUUGACGGGUAGCCGGCCUGAGAGGGUGACCGGCCACAUUGGGACUGAGAUACGGCCCAGACUCCUACGGGAGGCAGCAGUGGAGAGUAGUGCACAGUAGGCGGAAGCCAGAUGCAACAACGCCGCGUGCGGGAUGACGACCUUCGGGUUGUAAACCGCUUUCGCCUGUGACGAGGCGUGAGUGACGGUAAUUGGUAAAGAAGCCCCGGCUAACUACGUG
rnacentral:rRNA from 1 species